GUCGAGAAUCUUUCACAAUGGGGGCAACCCUGAUGGAGCGACGCCGCGUGGAGGAUAAGGUCUUCGGAUUGUAAACUCCUGUCAUGCGUGAACAAGGUUGCUUGGAUAAUACCUGAGCAAAUUGAUGGUAGCGCAAGAGGAAGAGACGGCUAACUCUGUGCCAGCAGCCGCGGUAAUACAGAGGUCUCAAGCGUUGUUCGGAAUCACUGGGCGUACAGGGUGCGUAGGUGGCGUGGCAAGUCAGAUGUGAAAGCCCGGGGCUCAACCUCGGAACUGCAUCCGAUACUUCCAUGCUAGAGGACUGGAGGGGUGACUAGAAUUCUCGGUGUAGCAGUGAAAUGCGUAGAUAUCGAGAGGAAUACCAAAGGCGUAGGCAGGUCACUGGACAGUUACUGACACUGAGGCACGAAGGCCAGGGGAGCGAACGGGAUUAGAAACCCCGGUAGUCC
rnacentral:rRNA from 1 species